GACGAACGCUGGCGGCGUGCUUAACACAUGCAAGUCGAACGGUAAGGCCCUUCGGGGUACACGAGUGGCGAACGGGUGAGUAACACGUGGGUGAUCUGCCCUGCACUUCGGGAUAAGGCGGGGAAACUGGGUCUAAUACCGGAUAGGACCACUGCCUGCAUGGGUGGUGGGGGAAAGCUUUUGCGGUGUGGGAUGGGCCGGCGGCCUAUCAGCUGGUUGGUGGGGUGAUGGCCUAGCAAGGCGACGACGGGUAGCCGGCCUGAGAGGGUGACCGGCCCGACUGGGACUGGGAUACGGCCCAGACUCCUACGGGAGGCAGAAGUGGGGAAUAUUGCACAAUGGGCGCAAGCCUGAUGCAGCGACGCCGCGUGAGGGAUGACGGCCUUCGGGUUGUAAACCUCUUUCAGCACCGACGAAGCGAAAGUGACGGUAGGUGCAGAAGAAGGACCGGCCAACUACGUGCCAGCCGCCGCCGUAA
rnacentral:rRNA from 1 species